rnacentral:rRNA from 1 species
CGGACGGGUGAGUAACACGUGGGUAACCUGCCUGUAAGACUGGGAUAACUCCGGGAAACCGGGGCUAAUACCGGAUGCUUGUUUGAACCGCAUGGUUCAAACAUAAAAGGUGGCUUCGGCUACCACUUACAGAUGGACCCGCGGCGCAUUAGCUAGUUGGUGAGGUAAUGGCUCACCAAGGCGACGAUGCGUAGCCGACCUGAGAGGGUGAUCGGCCACACUGGGACUGAGACACGGCCCAGACUCCUACGGGAGGCAGCAGUAGGGAAUCUUCCGCAAUGGACGAAAGUCUGACGGAGCAACGCCGCGUGAGUGAUGAAGGUUUUCGGAUCGUAAAGCUCUGUUGUUAGGGAAGAACAAGUACCGUUCGAAUAGGGCGGUACCUUGACGGUACCUAACCAGAAAGCCACGGCUAACUACGUGCCAGCAGCCGCGGUAAUACGUAGGUGGCAAGCGUUGUCCGGAAUUAUUGGGCGUAAAGGGCUCGCAGGCGGUUUCUUAAGUCUGAUGUGAAAGCCCCC